rnacentral:rRNA from 1 species
UACGUAGGGGGCGAGCGUUGUCCGGAAUCAUUGGGCGUAAAGAGCGUGUAGGCGGCUUGGCAAGUCUGACGUGAAAGCCCGCGGCUCAACCGCGGAUUGUCGUUGGAAACUGCCUCGCUAGAGUCCGGAAGAGGAGAGCGGAAUUCCUGGUGUAGCGGUGGAAUGCGUAGAUAUCUGGAGGAACACCGGUGGCGAAGGCGGCAUCCUGGACCGGUAUUGACGCUGAGGCGCGAAAGCUAGGGGAGCAAACGGG